UACGUAGGAGGCAAGCGUUGUCCGGAGUACUGGGCGUAAAGCGCACGCAGGCGGUCCUAUUAGUCUGGGGUGACAGUUCCCGGCUUAACCGGAAAAGGACUCUGGAAACUGUAGGACUUGAGGGCUUCAGAGGGAUGUGGAAUUCCAGGUGGAGUGGUGAAAUGCGUAGAGAUCUGGAAGAACACCAAAGGCGAAGGCAGCAUCCUGGGAAGUUCCUGACGCUCGGGUGCGAAAGCCAGGGGAGCGAACGGG
rnacentral:rRNA from 1 species